rnacentral:rRNA from 1 species
CUUUUAAUUGAAGGCUUGAAUGAACGGUUGGAUGAGAGAAGAGCUGUCUCUUUUAUAGAUUAAAAUUUGACUUUUAAGUGAAAAGGCUUAAAUUGCGUAAAGGGACGAUAAGACCCUAUAAAACUUCAUAAGAGAUUUAUUUUAUUUUUAAAUUCUUCUUUAAAAAUUGUGAAGUAAUUCUUUUAUUUUGUUGGGGCGACAUUGAUAUAAGCUGUAACUGUUUAAAUAAAAACUAUAAUUAUCAUUAUUGUUUGAUCCUUCUUUGUGGAUAAAAAGACUAAGUUACUUUAGGGAUAACAGCGUA